rnacentral:rRNA from 1 species
GAUGAACGCUGACAGAAUGCUUAACACAUGCAAGUCGAUGGGGAAGUGGUGCUUGCACCAUGGUAACCAUGGCGGACGGGUGAGUAACGCGUAAGGAACUUACCUGCGGGACCGGGAUAACAGCAGGAAACUGCUGACAAGACCGGAUAAGGUCAUUAAGCUGCAUAGCUUAGUGAUGAAAGGAGACGCCUGCGGAGAGCCUUGCGUCCUAUUAGCUAGUUGGAGGGGUAACGGCCCACCAAGGCGAAGAUAGGUAGCCGGCCUGAGAGGGUGGACGGCCACAAGGGGACUGAGAUACGGCCCUUACUCCCACGGGAGGCAGCAGUGGGGAAUAUUGGACAAUGGGGGCAAACCUGAUCCAGCAAUUCUGUGUGCACGAAGACGGUUUUCGGAUUGUAAAGUGCUUUCAGCAGGGAAGAAGGAAGUGACGGUACCUGCAGAAGAAGCGACGGCUAAAUACGUG